rnacentral:rRNA from 1 species
UAGAAUUUGGUAGGGGUUAGUAGAAUUUCCAGUGUAGAGGUGAAAUUCGUAGAUAUUGGAAAGAAUACCAGUGGCGAAGGCGACUGACUGGGCCAUUUUUGACGCUGAGAUACGAAAGCGUGGGUAGCAAACAGGAUUAGAUACCCUGGUAGUCCACGCAGUAAACGAUGAGUGCUAGUCGCUGGGACAAUAGUUUCAGUGUCGAAGCUAACGCAUUAAGCACUCCGCCUGGGAAGUACGGUCGCAAGAUUAAAACUCAAAUAAAUUGACGGGGGCCCGCACAAGCGGUGGAGCAUGUGGUUUAAUUCGAAGCAACGCGAAGAACCUUACCAGACCUUGACAUGGUAUGUUUGAAUUACAGAAUCGUAAUUCUUCAGUUCGGCUGGCAUACACACAGGUGCUGCAUGGCUGUCGUCAGCUCGUGUCGUGAGAUGUUGGGUUAAGUCCCGCAACGAGCGCAACCCUCAUUUUUAGUUGCCAUCAGGUUAUGCUGGGCACUCUAAAAAAACUGCCGGUGAUAAGCUGGAGGAAGGCGGGGAUGACGUCAAGUCCUCAUGGCCCUUACGGUCUGGGCUACACACGUGCUACAAUGGUGGUGACAGUGGGCAGCAAUACUGCAAAGUAAAGCUAAUCCCAAAAAACCAUCUCAGUUCGGAUUGGACUCUGCAACUCGAGUCCAUGAAGUUGGAAUCGCUAGUAAUCGUAGAUCAGCGUGCUACGGUGAAUACGUUCUCGGGCCUUGUACACACCGCCCGUCACGCCAUGGGAGUUGGUUUUACCUUAAGCCGGUGCGCUAACCGCAAGGAAGCAGCCGUCCACGGUAGGGUCAGCGACUGGGGCGAAGUCGUAACAAGGUAACCGUA